rnacentral:rRNA from 1 species
GAUGGACGCUGGCGGCGUGCCUAAUACAUGCAAGUCGAGCGAACGGACGAGAAGCUUGCUUCUCUGAUGUUAGCGGCGGACGGGUGAGUAACACGUGGAUAACCUACCUAUAAGACUGGGAUAACUUCGGGAAACCGUAGCUAAUACCGGAUAAUAUUUUGAACCGCAUGGUUCAAAAGUGAAAGACGGUCUUGCUGUCACUUAUAGAUGGAUCCGCGCUGCAUUAGCUAGUUGGUAAGGUAACGGCUUACCAAGGCAACGAUGCAUAGCCGACCUGAGAGGGUGAUCGGCCACACUGGAACUGAGACACGGUCCAGACUCCUACGGGAGGCAGCAGUAGGGAAUCUGCCGCAAUGGGCGAAAGCCUGACGGAGCACGCCGCGUGAGUGAUGAAGGUCUUCGGAUCGUAAAACUCUGUUAUUAGGGAAGAACAUAUGUGUAAGUAACUGUGCACAUCUUGACGGUACCUAAUCAGAAAGCCACGGCUAACUACGUG